rnacentral:rRNA from 1 species
UAAGGAAUAUUGCUCAAUGGGAGAAAUCCUGAAGCAGCAACGCCGCGUGGAGGAUGAAGGGUCUAUGACUUGUAAACUCCUGUAAAGAAGGAAAAAAUUCCCAUUUGAUGGGCGAUGAUGGUACUUCUGGAGUAAGCACCGGCUAACUACGUGCCAGCAGCCGCGGUAAUACGUAGGGGGCAAGCGUUGUCCGGAUUUACUGGGUGUAAAGGGUGCUCAGGCGGAUUUGUAAGUCAGAGGUGAAAUCUUACAGCUUAACUGUGAAACUGCCUUUGAUACUGCAAGGCUAGAGUAUGGAAGAGAGUGAUGGAAUAUCUGGUGGAGCAGUGAAAUGCGUAGAUAUCAGAUAGAACACCAAUGGCGAAGGCAGUCACUUGGUCCAUUACUGACGCUAAAGCACGAAAGCGUGGGUAGCAAACA